CCUUCCUUCUCCACCACGUGGUCUCUGGUUUUAAACCAGACCAUCUCUCUCUCCAAAGCCCUAAAUCUUCAAAGCUCCACACUUUCUUCUAUUUCCCUCGAAAAACUCAAAAAUGGGAGAAACCAAAAGAAAGCGAGGACGAGCUCCAAAACCCAAAACCCCAGAAACCGCCACCACCUCAAUGGACAUCGACGACGCCGCUCCGCCCCCACGACGGAGCCUCUCUCCGACGCCGGCACCUCCCAGCCCUCCCGCCGCGGCCGCGGCCGCCCCAGGAAGGCCGAGUCGGCCAACAUCACCGCCUCGCCCGAGCGGCGGAGCUCCCGGCACGCGUCGGAGCAGAACGGCGACGCCGGGGCGGUGAGUUCGGAGCCGCCG
rnacentral:lncRNA from 1 species